CGUGGGUAACCUGCCUUAUAGUGGGGGAUAGCCUUUCGAAAGGAAGAUUAAUACCGCAUAAGAUUGUAGUAUCGCAUGAUAUAGCAAUUAAAGGAGCAAUUCGCUAUAAGAUGGACCCGCGUCGCAUUAGCUAGUUGGUGAGGUAAUGGCUCACCAAGGCGACGAUGCGUAGCCGACCUGAGAGGGUGAUCGGCCACAUUGGGACUGAGACACGGCCCAGACUCCUACGGGGAGGCAGCAUG
rnacentral:rRNA from 1 species